UACGUAGGGUGCGAGCGUUGUCCGGAAUUAUUGGGCGUAAAGGGCUCGUAGGCGGUUUGUCACGUCGGGAGUGAAAACUCGGGGCUUAACUCCGAGCCUGCUUCCGAUACGGGCUGACUAGAGGUAUGCAGGGGAGAACGGAAUUCCUGGUGUAGCGGUGAAAUGCGCAGAUAUCAGGAGGAACACCGGUGGCGAAGGCGGCUAACUGGGCAUUAUCUGACGCUGAGGCGCGAAAGCGUGGGUAGCAAACAGG
rnacentral:rRNA from 1 species